UACGUAGGGGGCUAGCGUUGUCCGGAAUCAUUGGGCGUAAAGCGCGUGUAGGCGGUCCGGUAAGUCCGCUGUGAAAGUCGGGGGCUCAACCCUCGAAUGCCGGUGGAUACUGUCGGGCUAGAGUGCGGAAGAGGUGAGUGGAAUUCCUGGUGUAGCGGUGAAAUGCGCAGAUAUCAGGAGGAACACCAAUUGCGAAGGCAGCUCGCUGGGACGUAACUGACGCUGGGACGCGAAAGCGUGGGGAGCAAACAGG
rnacentral:rRNA from 1 species